rnacentral:rRNA from 1 species
UCCGGAACUGCAUCCGAUACUGCCAGACUUGAGUAAUGGAGAGGCAGGUGGAAUUCUCGGUGUAGCAGUGAAAUGCGUGGAUAUCGAGAGGAAGACCAAUGGCGAAGGCAGCCUGCUGGACAUUUACUGACGCUGAGGUACGAAGGCCAGGGUAGCGAAAGGGAUUAGAUACCCCUGUAGUCCUGGCAGUAAACGGUGCGCGCUUGGUGUAGGAGGACUCGACCCCUUCUGUGCCGGAGCUAACGCGUUAAGCGCGCCGCCUGGGGAGUACGGUCGCAAGACUAAAACUCAAAGAAAUUGACGGGGACCCGCACAAGCGGUGGAGUAUGUGGCCUAAUUCGAUGCAACGCGAAGAACCUUACCAAGGCUUGACAUGUAUUGCUAAGCACGUGAAAGCGUGUGACCCUUCGGGGACCUUACACAGGUGCUGCAUGGCCGUCGUCAGCUCGUGUCGUGAGAUGUUUGGUUAAGUCCAGCAACGAGCGCAACCCCUGUGAAUAGUUGCCAGCACGUAAUGGUGGGGACUCUAUUCAGACUGCCCAGGUCAACUGGGAGGAAGGUGGGGAUGACGUCAGGUCAGUAUGGCCCUUACGCCUUGGGCUGCACACGUACUACAAUGCCCAGUACAAUGAGAACCGAGACCGCGAGGUGGAGGAAAUCUGCAAAACUGGGCCCAGUUCGGAUUGGAGGCUGCAACUCGCCUCCAUGAAGUUGGAAUCGCUAGUAAUGGCACAUCAGCUACGGUGCCGUGAAUACGUUCCCGGGUCUUGUACACACCGCCCGUCACAUCAUGGAAGCCGGUCGCACCCGAAGUAUCUGCGCUAACUAUUUAUAGAAGCAAGGUCCUAAGGUGUAG